rnacentral:rRNA from 1 species
AGCGUACACGGUGGAUGCCUAGGCAGUCAGAGGCGAUGAAGGGCGUGCUAAUCUGCGAAAAGCGUCGGUAAGGUGAUAUGAACCGUUACAACCGGCGAUACCCGAAUGGGGAAACCCAGUGUGUUUCGACACACUAUCAUGUCAUGAAUACAUAGUGGCAUGAGGCGAACCGGGGGAACUGAAACAUCUAAGUACCCCGAGGAAAAGAAAUCAACCGAGAUUCCCCCAGUAGCGGCGAGCGAACGGGGAGGAGCCCAGAACCUGAAUCGGCUUGUGUGUUAGUGGAAGCGUCUGGAAAGUCGCGCAGCAAAGGGUGAUAGCCCCGUACACUAAAAUGCACAGGUCGUGAGUUCGAUGAGUAGGGCGGGACACGUGACAUCCUGUCUGAAUAUGGGGGGACCAUCCUCCAAGGCUAAAUACUCCUGACUGACCGAUAGUGAACCAGUACCGUGAGGGAAAGGCGAAAAGAACCCCGGCGAGGGGAGUGAAAUAGAACCUGAAACCGUGUACGUACAAGCAGUGGGAGCACCUUCGUGGUGUGACUGCGUACCUUUUGUAUAAUGGGUCAGCGACUUAUAUUUUGUAGCAAGGUUAACCGUAUAGGGGAGCCGUAGGGAAACCGAGUCUUAACUGGGCGAAUAGUUGCAAGGUAUAGACCCGAAACCCGGUGAUCUAGCCAUGGGCAGGUUGAAGGUUGGGUAACACUAACUGGAGGACCGAACCGACUAAUGUUGAAAAAUUAGCGGAUGACUUGUGGCUGGGGGUGAAAGGCCAAUCAAACCGGGAGAUAGCUGGUUCUCCCCGAAAGCUAUUUAGGUAGCGCCUCGUGAACUCAUCUUCGGGGGUAGAGCACUGUUUCGGCUAGGGGGCCAUCCCGGCUUACCAAACCGAUGCAAACUCCGAAUACCGAAGAAUGUUAUCACGGGAGACACACGGCGGGUGCUAACGUCCGUCGUGAAGAGGGAAACAACCCAGACCGCCAGCUAAGGUCCCAAAGUCAUGGUUAAGUGGGAAACGAUGUGGGAAGGCAUAGACAGCCAGGAUGUUGGCUUAGAAGCAGCCAUCAUUUAAAGAAAGCGUAAUAGCUCACUGGUCGAGUCGGCCUGCGCGGAAGAUGUAACGGGGCUAAACCAUGCACCGAAGCUGCGGCAGCGACGCUUAGGCGUUGUUGGGUAGGGGAGCGUUCUGUAAGCCGUUGAAGGUGGCCUGUGAGGGUUGCUGGAGGUAUCAGAAGUGCGAAUGCUGACAUAAGUAACGAUAAAGCGGGUGAAAAGCCCGCUCGCCGGAAGACCAAGGGUUCCUGUCCAACGUUAAUCGGGGCAGGGUGAGUCGACCCCUAAGGCGAGGCUGAAAAGCGUAGUCGAUGGGAAACAGGUUAAUAUUCCUGUACUUGGUGUUACUGCGAAGGGGGGACGGAGAAGGCUAGGCUAGCCGGGCGACGGUUGUCCCGGUUUAAGCGUGUAGGGGGUGUGACCUGGUAAAUCCGGUUGCAUAUCAACCCUGAGGCGUGAUGACGAUGCACUACGGUGCAGAAGUAGUUGAUGCCCUGCUUCCAGGAAAAGCCUCUAAGCUCCAGGUAACAUUAAAUCGUACCCCAAACCGACACAGGUGGUCAGGUAGAGAAUACCAAGGCGCUUGAGAGAACUCGGGUGAAGGAACUAGGCAAAAUGGUGCCGUAACUUCGGGAGAAGGCACGCUGGCAUGUAGGUGAAGUCCCUUGCGGAUGGAGCUGAAGCCAGUCGAAGAUACCAGCUGGCUGCAACUGUUUAAUAAAAACACAGCACUGUGCAAACACGAAAGUGGACGUAUACGGUGUGACGCCUGCCCGGUGCUGGAAGGUUAAUUGAUGGGGUCAGCCGCAAGGCGAAGCUCUUGAUCGAAGCCCCAGUAAACGGCGGCCGUAACUAUAACGGUCCUAAGGUAGCGAAAUUCCUUGUCGGGUAAGUUCCGACCUGCACGAAUGGCGUAAUGAUGGCCAGGCUGUCUCCACCCGAGACUCAGUGAAAUUGAACUCGCUGUGAAGAUGCAGUGUACCCGCGGCAAGACGGAAAGACCCCGUGAACCUUUACUAUAGCUUGACACUGAACAUUGAGCCUUGAUGUGUAGGAUAGGUGGGAGGCUUUGAAGCGUGGACGCCAGUCUGCGUGGAGCCAUCCUUGAAAUACCACCCUUUAAUGUUUGAUGUUCUAACUCGGCCCCAUAAUCUGGGGUGAGGACAGUGUCUGGUGGGUAGUUUGACUGGGGCGGUCUCCUCCCAAAGAGUAACGGAGGAGCACGAAGGUUAGCUAAUCACGGUCGGACAUCGUGAGGUUAGUGCAAAGGCAUAAGCUAGCUUGACUGCGAGAGUGACGGCUCGAGCAGGUACGAAAGUAGGUCUUAGUGAUCCGGUGGUUCUGAAUGGAAGGGCCAUCGCUCAACGGAUAAAAGGUACUCCGGGGAUAACAGGCUGAUACCGCCCAAGAGUUCAUAUCGACGGCGGUGUUUGGCACCUCGAUGUCGGCUCAUCACAUCCUGGGGCUGAAGUAGGUCCCAAGGGUAUGGCUGUUCGCCAUUUAAAGUGGUACGCGAGCUGGGUUUAGAACGUCGUGAGACAGUUCGGUCCCUAUCUGCCGUGGGCGUUGGAAGAUUGAGAGGGGUUGCUCCUAGUACGAGAGGACCGGAGUGAACGCACCACUGGUGUUCGGGUUGUCAUGCCAAUGGCAUUGCCCGGUAGCUAAGUGCGGAAAAGAUAAGCGCUGAAAGCAUCUAAGCGCGAAACUUGCCUCAAGAUGAGUCUUCCCUGGGCCUUUAAGGUCCCUGAAGGAACGUUUAAGACUAAGACGUUGA